GACGAACGCUGGCGGCGUGCUUAACACAUGCAAGUCGAACGGAAAGGCCCUGCUUUUGUGGGGUGCUCGAGUGGCGAACGGGUGGGUAACACGUGAGUAACCUGCCCUUGACUUUGGGAUAACUUCAGGAAACUGGGGCUAAUACCGGAUAGGAGCUCCUGCUGCAUGGUGGGGGUUGGAAAGUUUCGGCGGUUGGGGAUGGACUCGCGGCUUAUCAGCUUGUUGGUGGGGUAGUGGCUUACCAAGGCUUUGACGGGUAGCCGGCCUGAGGGUGACCGGCCACAUUGGGACUGAGAUACGGCCCAGACUCCUACGGGAGGCAGCAGUGGGGAAUAUUGCACAAUGGGCGGAAGCCUGAUGCAGCAACGCCGCGUGCGGGAUGACGGCCUUCGGGUUGUAAACCGCUUUCGCCUGUGACGAAGCGUGAGUGACGGUAAUGGGUAAAGAAGCACCGGCUAACUACGUG
rnacentral:rRNA from 1 species